GACAGAGGUGGCAAGCGUUGUUCGGAAUACUGGGCGUAAAGGGCGCGUAGGCGGCCCGUCAAGUCCCGUGUGAAGCCCCCGGCUCAACCGGGGACUGCACGGGAAACUAGCAGGCUUGAGUUCGGGAGAGGGAAGCGGAAUUUCGGGUGUAGCGGUGAAAUGCGCAGGAUAUCCGAAGGAACACCGGUGGCGAAGGCGGCUUCCUGGACCGACACUGACGCUGGAGGCGCGAAAGCUAGGGGAGCAAACGGG
rnacentral:rRNA from 1 species